rnacentral:rRNA from 1 species
UACGUAGGAGGCGAGCGUUGUCCGGAGUUACUGGGCGUAAAGCGUGCGCAGGCGGCUUUGCAAGACAGAUGUGAAAUCCCCGGGCUUAACCUGGGAACUGCAUUUGUGACUGCAUGGCUGGAGUGCGGCAGAGGGGGAUGGAAUUCCGCGUGUAGCAGUGAAAUGCGUAGAUAUGCGGAGGAACACCGAUGGCGAAGGCAAUCCCCUGGGCCUGCACUGACGCUCAUGCACGAAAGCGUGGGGAGCAAACAGG